GCCAGGCGUGGUGGUGCAUGCCUGUAAUCCCAGCUACUUGGGAGGCUGAGGCAGGAGAAUUGCUUGAACCCAGGAGACAGAGGUUGCAGUGAGCAGCACCAUUACACUCCAGCCUGAGUAACAGAGCAAGACUCUGCCUCAA
rnacentral:SRP_RNA from 1 species